rnacentral:rRNA from 1 species
ACGUACACUCCUGCGGGAGGCAGCAGUGGGGAAUUUUGGACAAUGGGCGAAAGCCUGAUCCAGCCAUGCCGCGUGCAGGAUGAAGGCCUUCGGGUUGUAAACUGCUUUUGUACGGAACGAAACGGCCUUUUCUAAUAAAGAGGGCUAAUGACGGUACCGUAAGAAUAAGCACCGGCUAACUACGUGCCAGCAGCCGCGGUAAUACGUAGGGUGCAAGCGUUAAUCGGAAUUACUGGGCGUAAAGCGUGCGCAGGCGGUUAUGUAAGACAGUUGUGAAAUCCCCGGGCUCAACCUGGGAACUGCAUCUGUGACUGCAUAGCUAGAGUACGGUAGAGGGGGAUGGAAUACCGCGUGUAGCAGUGAAAUGCGUAGAUAUGCGGAGGAACACCGAUGGCGAAGGCAAUCCCCUGGACCUGUACUGACGCUCAUGCACGAAAGCGUGGGGAGCAAACAGGAUUAGAAACCCCUGUAGUCCCAUG